AUCGCUUCUCGGCCUAUCGGCUAAGAUCAAAGUGUAGUAUCUGUUCUUAUCAGCUUAACUGUUUUAAAACUUCAGUCCACAAGUUGGUAGGGACUGGAUCCCACAUAACAUACACUUUUUGACUCUUC
rnacentral:snRNA from 1 species